rnacentral:tRNA from 1 species
CAAAAUGUAGUUUAACUAAAACAUUUCGUUUACACCGAAAAUAUAUUUGUGAAACCCAAACCACUUUGA